ncrna:unclassified sequences HTH-XRE RNA
GAUCAGCAAAGCCGGGGGAUGUGCAGACAUUCAUUGGAACUCCCGGCAAAAGGCUUGCAAAGGUGAUUUCCCUUUC